rnacentral:rRNA from 1 species
GUCAGGGAGGAAAUCCCUAAGGUUAAUACCCUUGGGGGAUGACAGUACCUGAAGAAUAAGCACCGGCUAAUUACGUGCCAGCAGCCGCGGUAAUACGUAGGGUGCAAGCGUUAAUCGGAAUUACUGGGCGUAAAGCGUGCGCAGGCGGUUGUGUAAGUCUGAUGUGAAAGCCCCGGGCUCAACCUGGGAACUGCAUUGGAGACUGCACGGCUAUUGUGCGUCAGAGGGGGGUAGAAUUCCGCGUGUAGCAGUGAAAUGCGUAGAGAUGCGGAUGAAUACCGAUGGCGAAGGCAGCCCCCCGGGAUGACACUGACGCUCAUGCACGAAAGCGUGGGGAGCAAACAGGAUUAGAUACCCUGGUAGUCCACGCCCUAAACGAUGUCAACUAGCUGUUGGGGGUUUGAAUCCUUGGUAGCGUAGCUAACGCGAGAAGUUGACCGCCUGGGGAGUACGGCCGCUUGGUUAAAACUCAAAGGAAUUGACGGGGACCCGCACAAGCGGUGGAUGAUGUGGAUUAAUUCGAUGCAACGCGAAAAACCUUACCUGGUCUUGACAUGU